rnacentral:sRNA from 1 species
GACCAGUCCUGCCACUGGCGGACUUAAGGCCAUACGGACAGCCGGGUCAAAUGCCGA